AUUGAACGCUGGCGGCAGGCCUAACACAUGCAAGUCGAGCGGCAGCGGGAAAGUAGCUUGCUACUUUGGCCGGCGAGCGGCGGACGGGUGAGUAAUGCCUGGGGAUCUGCCCGAUAGAGGGGGAUAACUACGGGAAACUGUAGCUAAUACCGCAUAAUGGCUACGGACCAAAGUGGGGGCUCUUCGGACCUCAUGCUAUCGGAUGAAACCAGGUGGGAUUAGCUAGUUGGUGAGGUAAUGGCUAACCAAGGCGACGGUCUCUAACUGGUUAGGGAGAAUGACCAGUCACACUGGAACUGAUACACGGUCCAGACUCCUACGGGAGGCAGAAGUGGGGAAUAUUGCACAAUGGGCGCAAGCAUGAUGCAUCCAUGCCGAGUGUGUGAAGAAGGCCUUCGGGUUGUAAAGCACUUUCAGCGGGGAGGACGGGUCACUAGUUAAUACCUAGUGGCAUUGACGUUACUCGCAGAAGAAGCACCGGCUAACUCCGUGCCAGCCGCCGCCGUAACAC
rnacentral:rRNA from 1 species